UACGUAGGUGGCAAGCGUUGUCCGGAUUUACUGGGCGUAAAGAGCGCGCAGGCGGUCUGAUUAGUCGCGUGUGAAAGCCCCCGGCUCAACUGGGGAGGGUCACGCGAUACUGUUCGACUCGAAGGCAGGAGAGGGAAGUGGAAUUCCCGGUGUAGCGGUGAAAUGCGUAGAUAUCGGAAGGAACACCAGUGGCGAAAGCGGCUUCCUGGUCCAGCACCGACGUUCAGGCACGAAAGCGUGGGGAGCAAACAGG
rnacentral:rRNA from 1 species